GUAGAUGAGGCUGGCCUUGAAUUCAGAGACCUUCAUACAGUUGACUCCCAAAUUCUGGGAUUAAGUGUAAGACUUCAGACCAUGGAAUGGUGCCACCUACAUUCAGGGCAGCAAGGAAAGUCCCGACCAAAGUCAGAUCUGCACCCCAGCUGAGAAACUGCCAAAGCCUGCACCAUGUCGAGCAUCUGCAGUCUGUGGAGACCUCAUCUACUGCCCCACCUCUCCAGCUCUGCUGUCUGAGGCAUGUGUAGCGGCUCUCUGUGACUGGCUCCCCUCCGCGCCUGCAGAUUUCGUUGAACACCUCCUGUUCAGACAAGUCUUGGUUCUCAACUUUGUUAAAUCUCGAAUUACUAAAACUCAUGUAGUUGGACACACCUGUGAAGAAGUUUCUUCUUGAUUAUGUCAUUUGAAGUGGGAAGACCCACACUAAAUCCAGAUCAUUUGCUGUGGGAAGACGCACCUUAAAGCUGGAUCGAAAGACACACUCUAAAUGUGGGCUGCACCUUCUGGUGGCAGUCUCUCUACAAGAACAUGGAAGGAGAAAGCCUUUGCUUUUUGCCAGCUCACUCUCAUGGGCAAGUUCACCUACCCUGCUGCUGAGGCAUGCCUUCGCCGCUGUUAGAGCCCACUUCUUUGGAAUUCCAAUGUGUAUUGAAGACCAGCUGAAACAUCCAGCCUCACCGAUUGACCAUCUAUUGGAUUCUUGGAUUUUCCAUCCGAAGACAAAGUUGGACUAGCUAGACCAUAGACUGUAAAUUGCUUUAAUAAAUCAUGCAUAUAUAUAUAUACAUA